CCAUGGAGACCUGCAGUUUGACAUCUACAGACUCAUGAGACAGGAGAACGGUAACAAGUGGGGUGACUACCAGCCCCACUCCAAUGUGUUGUGGCUCCACUACCUGAGCUCCAAGCUGCUGACUAUGACCUAUAAGGGUCGAGGGGGGCGGGGCGUCAAGCAGGCCAGGUUGGACCUGCAGCGUUUCCACGACGAUGUCCUCACCUUCCGAUCUGCCUCUGACAUACUGUACAACUGUGGCCUGUUCCAAUGAGAAAGAGAGAGAGAGUGUGUGUGUGUGUGUGUGUUUGCCACAUAUUGUUGUUGUUAGCUUGGUUAGCCCGAUGCUAAGUGGUUAGCCCGAUGCUAAGUGGUUAGCCCGAUGCUAAGUGGUUAGCCCGAUGCUAAGUGGUUAGCCCGAUGCUAAGUGGUUAUCUAUAGUAUUGUGUAGGAUCCAGUCGUAACCUUUUUUGGAGGUGAACUCUUCUUGUGAACAAUAUUUAUAAACCCAGAAGACUGUAAAUGGCUUUGUAUUCUAAAAUUAAAAAGGGGUAUUAAACGUUGAAUAGAAACAAUGACCAAAAA